AGUCCCGUGGUGUAGCGGUCAAGCAAGGUAUUUAACCUCUAGACGCAGGUUCGAAUCCUGCCGGGACUA
rnacentral:tRNA from 7 species